rnacentral:rRNA from 1 species
GCGUGCUUAACACAUGCAAGUCGUGCGAGAAAACCCCUUCGGGGGUGAGUACAGCGGCGGACGGGUGAGUAACACGUGAGCGAUCUACCCGGUGGCGGGGGACAACCCAGGGAAACCUGGACUAAUACCGCAUACAGCGGAGGGAGUAGGUGCCCUUCGUGAAAGCUGGCCUCUCCAUGGAAGCUAGCGUCGCCGGAGGAGCUCGCGGCCUAUCAGCUUGUUGGUGGGGUAAAGGCCUACCAAGGCGAUGACGGGUAGCUGACGUGAGAGCGUGACCAGCCACACUGGGACUGAGACACGGCCCAGACUCCUACGGGAGGCAGCAGUGGGGAAUAUUGCGCAAUGGGCGAAAGCCUGACGCAGCGACGCCGCGUGGGGGAGGAAGGCCCUAGGGUUGUAAACCCCUGUCAGGUGGGACGAACCCUGGGUCGACGAAUAGUUGGCUCAGCUGACGGUACCAUCAGAGGAAGCUCCGGCUAACUCCGUGCCAGCAGCCGCGGUAAUACGGAGGGAGCAAGCGUUGUUCGGAAUCACUGGGCGUAAAGCGCGCGUAGGCGGCCGAGUAAGUCAGUAUGUGA